GGCCCAGACUCCUACGGGAGGCAGCAGUGGGGGAUAUUGCACAAUGGGCGAAAGCCUGAUGCAGCGACGCCGCGUGAGGGAUGAAGGUCUUCGGAUCGUAAACCUCUGUCAGCAGGGAAGAACGGUCACUGUGCUAAUCAGCAGUGAAUUGACGGUACCUGCAAAGGAAGCACCGGCUAACUACGUGCCAGCAGCCGCGGUAAUACGUAGGUGGCAAGCGUUGUCCGGAUUUACUGGGUGUAAAGGGCGUGCAGCCGGGAGUGCAAGUCAGAUGUGAAAUCCCGCGGCUCAACCGCGGAACUGCAUUUGAAACUGUGCUUCUUGAGUGCUGGAGAGGCAGACGGAAUUCCUAGUGUAGCGGUGAAAUGCGUAGAUAUUAGGAGGAACACCAGUGGCGAAGGCGGUCUGCUGGACAGUAACUGACGGUGAGGCGCGAAAGCGUGGGGAGCAAACAGGAUUAGAUACCCCAGUA
rnacentral:rRNA from 1 species